AUGGCUGACGGUGAGGACAUCCAGCCCCUUGUUUGCGACAAUGGAACCGGAAUGGUCAAGGCUGGUUUCGCUGGAGAUGAUGCACCAAGGGCUGUUUUCCCUAGCAUAGUUGGUCGCCCACGGCACACUGGUGUCAUGGUAGGGAUGGGGCAGAAGGAUGCUUAUGUUGGUGAUGAGGCGCAGUCCAAGAGAGGUAUCCUCACACUCAAGUACCCGAUUGAGCACGGUAUCGUAAGCAACUGGGAUGACAUGGAGAAAAUCUGGCAUCACACUUUCUACAAUGAGCUCCGUGUGGCACCUGAGGAGCACCCUGUGUUGCUCACUGAGGCUCCUUUGAACCCAAAAGCCAACAGAGAGAAGAUGACCCAGAUUAUGUUUGAGACUUUCAAUGUUCCUGCCAUGUACGUCGCAAUUCAGGCCGUGCUUUCCCUCUAUGCAAGUGGUCGUACUACUGGUAUCGUUCUCGACUCUGGUGAUGGUGUCAGCCACACCGUGCCCAUUUACGAAGGAUACGCGCUUCCUCAUGCCAUUCUUCGUUUGGAUCUCGCUGGUCGGGAUCUCACGGACUCCCUCAUGAAGAUCCUCACCGAGAGAGGUUACUCCUUCACAACCUCAGCCGAGCGGGAAAUUGUAAGGGACAUCAAGGAGAAGCUUGCGUAUGUUGCCCUUGAUUAUGAACAGGAGCUGGAGACUGCCAAGAACAGCUCCUCAGUUGAGAAGAGCUACGAGCUUCCUGAUGGUCAGGUCAUCACGAUUGGCGCAGAGAGGUUCAGGUGCCCUGAGGUCCUCUUCCAGCCAUCCAUGAUCGGCAUGGAGUCUUCUGGAAUCCAUGAGACGACCUACAACUCCAUCAUGAAGUGUGACGUGGAUAUCAGGAAGGACCUGUACGGCAACAUUGUGCUCAGUGGUGGCACAACUAUGUUCCCAGGUAUCGCUGACCGUAUGAGCAAGGAGAUCACCGCGCUUGCUCCGAGCAGCAUGAAGAUCAAGGUUGUCGCCCCACCUGAGAGGAAGUACAGUGUCUGGAUCGGAGGGUCCAUCCUAGCCUCACUCAGCACUUUCCAACAGGUACGUUUCUUGUUCAGCCCUACCUUCUAUAACCCAUCUGAACCGGAACCAACAUCUGAAAUAUGUUCUAUUUGGCUAUGUUUGUACCAGAUGUGGAUAUCCAAGGAUGAGUACGACGAGUCUGGCCCGGCUAUCGUCCACAGGAAGUGCUUCUGA
rnacentral:rRNA from 1 species